CAGGAGGAAAGGGUAUGAUCGUGGGGAAAUGACCAAGAUGGUGAUGAUACUGUGAUCGCUGCACAUGUUCCUCUGAAUAAUAUGUUUGGCUACUCAACAUCCCUUCGGUCAAUGACCCAGGGGAAAGGUGAAUUCACAAUGGAAUACUUGGAGCAUGCUGCAGUUUCGCAAGAUGUGCAGACACAAUUAGUCAACACUUACAAAGCAAGCAAGGGUUCGGAAUAGAACAACCCUAUUUCUAAUUUCUGGAAUGUGUUCUUGUUGUGAGCUAACUAAUCAUCAUCACCUCAGCAUCUGGCUGCAAUCCCAUACGAUCGAGUUUUGUAUUUAUUUAUUUGUUUUGUAAUGAGUGUGCAUGGAAGUAGCAUAUUAUAAUAAAUUAUUUUCAGUAAGGUGUAGCAACUGAUAUAUACCCAUUGUUAGAGCCAUUUUUUCAUGGUCUGGUUAUCCAACACUAUAUAGUUUAGCAAAUAAAAGUUUGAUGACAGUAUCACAAUACAACAGAAUUUUCUUAAUGAGGCAAGACGUAUAUUAUAUGGCUGAUAAUUGUACUGGAUGGAUGGAUUGAUAGAUGGGUAGAUAGAUAUAAAUAAAUGUUUUUACCAUA